CGACUCCGCGUCCCACUGCUGGGGAGAGAUGGUCAAAGUGUGGGAGGCGAGUUGGUCCCUGCUUGGGAGGCUAUCAGGUUGCCUAGCAACCACAGCUAUGCUUCUCCGGUAAAACGUUUGAAAUAUUUGAUUUGAAUUCAAUCUUGAGAUUUUCGAUUUUCCAGAGCAGCAAGGUGCGCCUGCAUCACAAGUUGAAGCACACUACUUCACCCAGAAUUUCUAAAUGUCCUCCAGAGAACAUGCUCCCAGCCUGCCUUGCUCAUUGCAGCAGAAGCUCAGAGUGAAGUGUGGAAAGAAGUCAAUGUCCAGACCAAAAUGCAUGAGAAGAACAGAUGAGGCCCAUGUGUUGCUGCUAUAGAGGCUAAAGCAGCAGAAACAAAGGAUGCUGGAGGACGGGAUGCUGGUACAAGCUGUCAGCUGUGUGCUUCUGCUGGUAAUAAGUCUCAAUGGAUAUGGAAUUUUACCAUCAGAUCCCUGAGAACACCUCUGCAGGACUGCCAUGCUUAUAACCCAAACAGUCCCUGUUGGCACUCUGACCUGUACCUGUGGUAUUCUGGACUAAUUCUGGACUAGUUCUCGCUUGUUCAUUCUCACAAGUUCUCACUUGUGGCUAAGUGUAACUUGUACACAAUAAAAAAUCCUUCUGCUGUCUCAGCUAAAGAAUAAAAACUAUUAAAAAAUAA